GCUUUCGCCCGGACGAUUUAUCUGUUCCCCUCCCACUGCCUUCUCUCCUCGUCACUCUCGCCACUCCCACUGCAAUCUCCAUCACCGCGCGGGACCUCGCCGACCGCCUUCGCUUCGCCGAGGUUGGUGGGGGAGGCCGGUUCCCAUUGCCAUUUCCAGAGAUGAAGGCGGCAGGGAGCGUCGAGCUGGAGAGCUGGUUGGGCGCGCGCAGCGGCAGGCCGGGAGUCGACACCUCACCGUCCGCCUCCACGUCGCCGAGGUUGGAGGGGGAGGCCGGGGACCAGCUGGCCGUCGUUGACGACGGGCAUAUUCGUGGUGCCCUGGCCUGCUGCCCAUGGCGAUCUCUCAUCCGCAGCUUCGCCGAUCUGCAUCACGCGCCAGAUCCGAUGGCCAUGGAACGGCAGCUCGCGCGCCUCCGCUUCUCUCUCUAGUCGGCAAUCCUGUUGUUGGCCACUCGCAUCGUCGGCGUGAGGAGCGGGGAUCCUGGCUCGCUAGCGUUAGGCGCGGCAGCCUGUCAAUGGAGGCCUGCAACACGCCUGGUGUGAGCGUCGUGGUAGCGAGUCGGUGCUCCCGCCUACGCGCUCGAUGCCUUUCAUGCUCCAACCAUCCCAAAGACACAGAUCUAGUGCAGCCCCAAGGCGGCGUAUCAGUGGCGAGCUGCUAGGUGAGUGGGUUCCAUGACUCCAUCCGUCAUUUGUUUCCGGCGACUGACAGAGGCGACGGUUUUGGCUCUAGGGAGAGCAUGGGUGGCGGACUGUUUGUGUUAGCCAAUCCUUGGGUGUGUGGUAGAGCAGUAGCUUGACAUUUUUCUGAUAAAUCACAGUUUCUAGAUGUCUAGGUCCUCUGACUCACAAACAUGGCAAAUUCUAUCAUAUGCGUGUGGCAACUUACAUCCA